rnacentral:rRNA from 1 species
AUUGAACGCUGGCGGCAGGCCUAACACAUGCAAGUCGAGCGAGAGGCGGACGGGUGAGUAAUGUAGGGGGACUGCCCGAUAGAGGGGGAUAAAUACUGGAAACGGUGGCUAAUACCGCAUACUAUCGGAGCACCCAUAUUGGAUUAGCUAGUAGGUGGGGUAAAGGCUCACCUAGGCGACGAUCUCUAGCUGGUCUGAGAGGAUGAUCGGCCACACUGGGACUGAGACACGGCCCAGACUCCUACGGAGGCAGCAGUGGGGAAUAUUGCACAAUGGGCGCAAGCCUGAUGCAGCCAUGCCGCGUGUAUGAAGAAGGCCUUAGGGUUGUAAAGUACUUUCGGCGGUGAAGCGUUACCCGCACAGAAAGCACCGGCUAACUCCGUGCCAGCAGCCGCGGUAAUAC